GCGUAGGGUACGUAGGCGGAUAGUUCACAAUAGAGUAAAAGACUGAGGAAGGCCCUCUUUAAUCUGUAUUCACUGGCUAUCUUGAGUUCUAGAGAUGAUAUUGAAUUCCUUAAGUAAGGGUUAAAUUGUUGAUAUUGGAAGACAUUCGAAGGCGAAAGCUAUAAUCAAUCUAGAUCUGACGCUAGGUACUAAAGUAUGGGUAUGAAAAGGAUUAGAGACCUUGUAGUCCAUACCUUAAACAAUGAGUGUUCAACAUCUAUCAGCAUUUCUUUUGUUUACAAAUGAAUGGAGCUCAUAGGGGUUUACAGCUAACGCGUGAAACACCGCCUGGGGAAUGUGGCCGCAAGGUUAAACUCAAAGGAAUUGAGGAGGCUUGUACAAGG
rnacentral:rRNA from 1 species